rnacentral:lncRNA from 1 species
AUAAAAGCUAUCAAUCUAACCACCUGCGGUCAAGAACUUUGCCGUAGGGGGGUGGCAGUAAAGCCACUGCUGCCACCACCCGUAAUGGACAAAAAUGAAAAAUUUGGUAUGGGGUUGUCAGCUUCUGGUGCACUUUCCCACCCGGGCAUUUUCAUGAAUAAAAGGGUCUGGGACAAGCUUUCAAUCCCACUAGGUGUGGGUAAAAACUUUGCCGUAGGGAACUGUACAGAAAGAGUGAAAAAAUGAGCCCAUACCCAUUACUGUAUAGGUACCUCAGACUUUGGAUGGACAGUGAAGUCUUCAGGUGCACUUUCCCACCCUGGAAUUGAUACGAGUUGAAGAUAUGGAUAAAAGCUAUCAAUCUAACCACCUGCGGUCAAGAACUUUGCCGUAGGGGGUGGCAGUAAAGCCACUGCUGCCACCACCCGUAAUGGACCAAAAUGAGAAAUUGAGAGUGUUGUUGUCAGCUUCUGGUGCACUUUCCCACCCGGGCAUUUUCAUGAAUAAAAGGGUCUGGGACAAGCUUUCAAUCCCACUAGGUGUGGGUAAAAACUUUGCCGUAGGGAACUGUACAGAAAGAGUGAAAAAAUGAGCCCAUACCCAUUACUGUAUAGGUACAUCAGACUUUGGAUGGACAGUGACGUCUUCAGGUGCACUUUCCCACCCUGGAAUUGAUACGAGUUGAAGAUAUGGAUAAAAGCUAUCAAUCUAACCACCUGCGGUCAAGAACUUUGCCGU